rnacentral:rRNA from 1 species
AUUGAACGCUGGCGGCAGGCUUAACACAUGCAAGUCGAGCGGGGAAGGGUAGCUUGCUACCUGACCUAGCGGCGGACGGGUGAGUAAUGCUUAGGAAUCUGCCUAUUAGUGGGGGACAACAUUCCGAAAGGAAUGCUAAUACCGCAUACGCCCUACGGGGGAAAGCAGGGGAUCUUCGGACCUUGCGCUAAUAGAUGAGCCUAAGUCAGAUUAGCUAGUUGGUGGGGUAAAGGCCUACCAAGGCGACGAUCUGUAGCGGGUCUGAGAGGAUGAUCCGCCACACUGGGACUGAGACACGGCCCAGACUCCUACGGGAGGCAGCAGUGGGGAAUAUUGGACAAUGGGCGCAAGCCUGAUCCAGCCAUGCCGCGUGUGUGAAGAAGGCCUUUUGGUUGUAAAGCACGUUAAGCGAGGAGGAGGCUACUGAGAUUAAUACUCUUGGAUAGUGGACGUUACUCGCAGAAUAAGCACCGGCUAACUCUGUG